rnacentral:rRNA from 1 species
UUAGACCUACGGGGCGCAGCAGUGGGGAAUAUUGGGCAAUGGGCGCAAGCCUGACCCAGCAACGCCGCGUGAAGGAAGAAGGCUUUCGGGUUGUAAACUUCUUUUGUCAGGGACGAAGCAAGUGACGGUACCUGACGAAUAAGCCACGGCUAACUACGUGCCAGCAGCCGCGGUAAUACGUAGGUGGCAAGCGUUAUCCGGAUUUACUGGGUGUAAAGGGCGUGUAGGCGGGACUGGAAGUCA